AAAGGCCCCUUUGACUCCCUAAUUAUUUUUUCUCUCUUUUCGUUAACGAU
rnacentral:tRNA from 1 species